rnacentral:tRNA from 1 species
CAAGGUGUAGCGCAGUCUGGUCAGCGCAUCUGUUUAGGUUCGAAUCCUUUCGCCUUGG